UACGGGAGGGGCAAGCGUUAUCCAGCGUGACUAGGCGUAAAGUGUUCGUAGAUUGUAAAAUAAGUUAUUAGUUAAAAGUAAAGGCUCAACCUUUAAAAAGCUUUUAAUACUGUUUUACUUGAGUUUUAUACAGAAGAGUAGAAUUUUACAUGGAAGGGUUAAAUCUACAGAUAUGUAAAGGAAUACCAAUAGCGAAGGCAACUCUUUAGUAAAAACUGACAUUGAGGAACGAAAGUGUGGGGAGCAAACAGG
rnacentral:rRNA from 1 species